GACGAACGCUGGCGGCGUGCUUAACACAUGCAAGUCGAACGAAGUGGCGAACGGGUGAGUAACGCGUAAUCAACCUGCCCUUCAGAGGGGACCAAUAGUUGGAAACGACUACUAAUACCGCAUACUGAAGGAGGGGCUUGCGUCUGAUUAGCUAGUUGGAGGGGUAACGGCCCCCCAAGGCGAUGAUCAGUAGCCGUUCUGAGAGGAUGAACGGCCACAUGGGGACUGAGACACGGCCCAGACUCCUACGGGAGGCAGCAGUGGGGAAUCUUCCGGAAUGGACGAAAGGCUGACGGAGCAAAGCCGCGUGAGUGAUGACGGCCUUCGGGUUGUAAAGCUCUGUUAAUCGGGACGCGGUACCGGAAGAGAAAGCCACGGCUAACUACGUGCCAGCCGCCGCGGUAAUAC
rnacentral:rRNA from 1 species